AUUGAACGCUGGCGGCAGGCUUAACACAUGCAAGUCGAGCGGGGGAAGGUAGCUUGCUACCGGACCUAGCGGCGGACGGGUGAGUAAUGCUUAGGAAUCUGCCUAUUAGUGGGGGACAACAUCUCGAAAGGGAUGCUAAUACCGCAUACGCCCUACGGGAGAAAGCAGGGGACCUUCGGACCUUGCGCUAAUAGAUGAGCCUAAGUCGGAUUAGCUAGUUGGUGGGGUAAAGGCCUACCAAGGCGACGAUCUGUAGCGGGUCUGAGAGGAUGAUCCGCCACACUGGGACUGAGACACGGCCCAGACUACUACGGGAGGCAGCAGUGGGGAAUAUUGGACAAUGGGAGGAACCCUGAUCCAGCCAUGCCGCGUGUGUGAAGAAGGCCUUAUGGUUGUAAAGCACUUUAAGCGAGUAGGAGGCUAAUUUAGUUAAUACCUAGAGAUAGUGGACGUUACUCGCAGAAUAAGCACCGGCUAACUCUGUGCCAGCAGCCGCUGUAA
rnacentral:rRNA from 1 species